rnacentral:lncRNA from 1 species
AAUCAGUGAUUUAAAUACCUGUAUCCAUUCUUAGUGUGCAGUGUAUAUCCAAUUUUCAGUUGCUAUUAUUCUCUCAUUUAACGAACAUGUAUUCCUCUGUGUCAUGAGUUGUGCUUGUUGGUUCCUGGGGAUACAGAGAGAAGGGACACCCAGUUUCUUGGAAGCUCAGUCCAGUGGCGUCAAUUCACUCAUUUGGAGUCUUAUGUUCUAGAAAAUCCAUAGGAAGAUAACAUAUAUUCCUACGGAAACCUUAACAAUUCACUUAUUUAUGCAUUCUCCGAAUACCUAUCGACUGCCUGCUAUGUGCCAAGCUCUUUGCUUAGUCAUAGGGGAGACUCAAAGGUGGCUAAAAUACAUUAUCUACCUUCAAGAAGCUUACAAUAAAAAAAAAAAAGGGAUUUGAAACACAUAAAAAGAAUGUUCAGUCAUAGUAGAAAGAUAAAAAAGUGAGACUCGGCUUUCAAACACUUUGCAGUGAGAAGAACAUGCAUACAUUGGAAAUAAAGACUCCCCAAGCUUGCGCCUUAAGUACACCAUGCAAUUUUUAAAACAUCCAUUGAAGGCUGAAUACCCUCAGCUCAGACGUAACCGAGGGAGGGUUUAUUCUUGAGCGCGCAGUUUUUCAGAAUAUUCUGAGAAAGAGUGAAUGCUUUUAAUGGGGGAGGUUAAAGUUGAAAUGUAUUUGGGGAUUGAGGGAGGGGGAGGGUGUGGAAAGACGCCAAUUGUAUUAUUAAUAAAAUUGAUCCAAGCUAGGCCAGUGGAAAUAGAAGGAGGAAUUACAUCGAUAAAACAAAUGGUACCUCCUGUAACCUUGAACUCAGUGUUGAUAGAACAGCGGACGGGGAGAUUUGGAGAAUCAAUGAAGCUACCUCUAAAAUCUCAAAGCAAUUGAUUGAAAGAGAGUAAAGAAAACAGGUGAAAAAAAAUGUUCAGCCUUUCAUCCUUGCAAAUGAGGCCACCAGGUUGAUCGCCCACUCUUAAAAUCAGACUCUUAAUACAGGCUUUAGGAAGGGGGAAAAAAAAAAAAAAGGUGUCACGUCAUCUGAAAAUAGGUUAGGCUGCUCUGUUGUAUUUAUAGGAAGAGAAUGAUCUAGUUCAUGCAUUCUAAGUAGUUCAACUUUUAUGUAUGAAAUCAAAUCAUCCCCAUUCAGGAUGAUGGAAUCUGGACUUUCUUAAAUACCCAUCCUUGUAUUUCUUCUUGUGUAAAAAAGGAAACUGAAACUAUUCCAUCAACGUGUUCUGAUACUAAAAUGAAAUUUGUGGCAGUGUAUUUCCAUGGUCCGGUGCAAUCCCGCUUGUGGCAGUUUCUCCACAAACUUGUUCACUUUUGAACUUCUUUUGAAAACAUUUUUAUGGACGCAUAGUGGACUUACAAUGUUGUGUUAGUUUCAGGUGUACAGCAAAAUGAAUCAGUUACACAUACGCAUAUACCCAUUCCUUUUCAGAUUCUUUUCCAUACGGGUUAUUCCACAGUAUGGAAUAGAUUUCCCUGUGUUCUGCUGUAGGUCCUUCUUACUUACGUAUCUUGUAUACCAUCAUGUGUAUGUUAAUCCCAACCUUCUAAUUUAGCUCUCCCCCCAAAACGUUUUUCCUUUGGUAACCAUUAGUUUGGUUUCCCAAUCUUUGAGUCUAUGUCUGUUUCAUGAAUAAGUUCUUUUGUAUCAUUUUUUUAUUAGAUUCCACAUGUUAGUGAUCUCAUAUGAUAUUUGUCUUUCUGUGACUUAUUUCACUUUGUAUGAUAAUCUCUAGGUGCAUCAUUAUUGCCACAAAUGGCAUUCUUUUUUUUUUUUUUUUGGCUGCACCUGUGGCAGGCAGAAGUUCCUGGACCGGGGACUGAACCCGCAAUACAGCAGUGACAAGAGCCACCGCUGUGACAGUGCCAGAUCCUUAUCCCACUAAGCUACCAGGAAACACCCCAAAUGACAUUCUUUCAUUUUCCUUUAUGGCUGCGUAGUAUUCCAUUGUGUUUAUAUAGCGCAUCUUUUUUAUCCAUUCACCUGUUGAUCGACUUUUAGGUCAUUUCCAUGUGGGCUUUUGUGAGUAGUGCUGCUAUGAACAUAGGGGUAUCUUUUCGAAUUAUAGUUUUGUUCAGAUAUAUGAAUGACAGGGACAUAUUCUUGAAGGAAGCUCACUCAAGUAGAAACUGAAUCAAAUGAAGGAACAAGCCAUGGGAUAAUUCUGGGGGCCAAGUGUUCCAGGCAGAGGGAAAAGCAGAUGCAAGGUCCCUAUGGUGGUGACGAGCUUGGGGUUUUUGAGAAAUAGCAAGAUCGGUGAGGCUGAAGUGCACUGAGCGAGGGGAGUGGAAGGACAUAAGAGUGAGUGAGGGAUGAAGGUGGGGACUAUAUCAUGUGGGGCCUUGUGGGUCAUAGGAAAGAAUUCAGAUCUUAUUGUGAGCAAAUGUUAAGCCCCUAGAGGGUUUGAGUAGGGGAGGACUUUGUAUCUUUAAAAGGCGAUUUGAGUUGCCAAGUAGAGAAUAACUCUAGGAAGCAAAAGACAAAGCUGAUCGUUCAGUUAGGACACUACAAAUGGGAGAAGUGGUUAGAUGUGGGAUGUGGUUUUUGAAGGAGGAGCUAAAAGGACAUGCUGAUGGGGUGGACGUGGAGUGUGGGGAUAGAGGGGAAUUAAGGAUGAUCCCUAAGUUUUAUCUUGAGCAUCUUGGUGGAUAGUGGUGGUGUUUCAUGAAAUGGAGAAGGCUAGGGAGAGAAUGGACUUGGGGUAAAAUAUCAAUGAUUCUGUUUUGAAAUUUGAGGUGAAUAAUAGACAAUAGUAAGUAGAGAUGUGUGAAGGAGGUAGUUUGGUCCAUGAAUCUGAAAUUCCAAAAAAGAGAUCAGAGAUACAGGGAUGUAUUGGGACUUCUGGAUAUAGAUGAUGUUUACAACUGUGAUACGAAGUGAAAUCCUCUAGGCAGAAAUUAUAGAAAGAAAAAAGAAGACCAGCAAAAAAGCUCAGAGGUCCUCCAUGAAUCUGAAGGUGAGAUGACUUGACCUGCAGCUCCAGGUCUCACCAUGUAAACCUAAACCUCUGUCAGAGCUGAUCUCAUAACUUCUGAGGUUACCCGGGGAAGAUGUUCUCUUGUGGGCUGGACUUGAGACCAUGUAUAUCAAGCCUGGGAUUUCUGGGGGCCACCCGCUGGAGAAAGUCAUCUGAGAAUGAAGCCAACAUAGAAGCGGAGCAAAUUGAUGGGGAGAAAGACUCCCAACUACAUCAUCUAAGGACCUGGAUCCAGCCAUGCUUGAAGUUCAGUUCAUUUCUGCUUUUUUGUUUUGUUUUUCUGUUACAUGAGUCAAUAAGAUACCCUUCUUGUCAAGUCAGUAUGAGUUGCAUUUUAUGUCUCUUGUAGCUGUUGCCCAGCAUCUUACCCUGUACGUUAUAAAUGAUGUGUCUAGGUUCACACAGUCAUUAGUGACACAUCUGGCCUUAGUCCCAAGCCUCCCUAGUAGUCCACGGUUAUUUUACACCACAUCUUCAUGCUUCUUGCUCUUUCUUGGGCUGUACCACUUGCUGCUCUAUCUUCCACAACUUCCAUAUUAACCUAAUUUAGAUGAUGAUGACUCUGGGGUGGCAUAAAAUUGUGUGUGUGUGUGUGUGUGUGUGAUGUGACUAGGUAUCCAUCCUGGGAUCACAUAAGCUGAGCACCACCAACCAUAUCCAUUCUGAGAGAGGAAGCUGGGAAUUGAGAAGGUUCUGGGAUGGUUAUCACCAGAUGGAAUGGAACUGUGAAUAGCUCCCACUAGAAUAAUUUAUGCCAAAGCUUAGGACCUCUGUUCUCAUCAGGAGCAAAUUUUGGGCAUGUGUCUGAUGCCCAAACUCUUGGUCUUUUAGGCAGAAAAUGGCACUGGCUCUAUCGAUGUCUAGGAGAGGAGCCAAUGAGUGACCAUGUUCCCAAGCUUGGCACUUAGCAUUUUUGUCAGGGAAGUCCUCCAAGGUCCUAUUCAUCCACUUACCAUGUAUCCAGUUCCUUCUAUGUUCCAUACAGUAGGCUGAGCCCUGGAGAAAUGAACAAGGCUAGGAGCCUGUGCUGCAGGAAUUCUCAGUCUAACACGGGAGAAGAACAUGGCAGCAUAAUGGCAGUGUGAUAAACUCUGUGAUAGUAGGUGCAAGAUGCUAUGGGAGCAGAAGGGAAAGUUCUGACUGAGUGAAUCAGGGGCACCUUCAUGGAGGUGGUGAUACCUUGAGCUGGGCUUACAAACUUGAGGACCAAGCAGGAAAAAUAUUUAAAGUGAUCAUAUAUAGGACAGUAGGGAGAGGAGAAGCAUCAUGCACUGGAGAGUACCUGUCCUCUCCAAAGGCAUUUGGAUGUAACCUUUUGAAGAACCUUGUGCUGGUGAACUAAACCCAUCUGCAGGAUGCUGUAGCUGGCCAGUUCAACCUCUGCCUUUGAACCAGUGAGUAAAAAUUCUCCCAGCAGACAGGGGAAAAAGCACUCCUGGAAGUAGUCUAGGGAGCUCUUGUUGUGGCUCAGCAGGUUAAGAAUCAUACAUAGUACCCAUGAAGAUCUGGGAUCGAUCCCUGGCCUUGCUCAGUGGGUUAAAGAUCUGGUGUUGAUGCAAGCUGCAGCAUAGCUCGCAGAUGUGGCUUGUAUCCUGCUUUGCCGUGGCUGUAGCAUAAUCCUGCAGCUGCAGCUCUGAUUUGAUGCCUAGCAUGGGAACUUUCAUAUGCCACAGGGGUGGCCCUAAAAAAGAAAAUUUUUAAAAAGGAAGCUUAAAAAGCUCAGAGUAUAUAAAAUCACCCGGGCUGAGGCAGAGGGCUGACGCAGUGUGAAAGUUGCUUUGGUUCCUUAUUCUCCUGGUCUAGAUCUUGACUCCUGCUACUCAGAUGAUCAUCCUGCAUUCUGGACCGUGUAACUAUUUAGCCUUGCAACCUGAUUUGAGCCUUCACGUUUUAGUGAACGUGUUCGGACCCUGACCCGCGUCGUCGUUUCACUCUUUCUCUUUGUGAUACUCUGACACCAACUCUCCUCCCUUUUCGAAAGUGUCUCCUCUGAAUGUUGAAUCUGGCCGAGUGUAUCCAUUAUGCAUCAUAAUAUGGUAACAGUCAGGAGUGUGGGACGUGAAUCAAAUGCCUGGAUUGAAAUCCUCCCUCAUCCCUUAGUAGUGGUCUAAUUUUGAAGUUUCUGAACGUAUAUAUUUCAUUUCUCUGAGGCUCAGUUUCUUUUUCCAUGAAAUGGGCAUAAUAAAGCAUACUUUGUUUUAUUUAGAUAAUGCCCUUGGCAUAACACCUGGUGCAUAGAGAGGCAUAGCUCUGUGGAAAUGGAUGAACACCAAAAUAUAAUCAACAUUCCCAUGCAGAGUCCUAAUUCUGCCUCCAUAACUAGAAUCCAGAUUUGUGCUGGAUUUUGCCCUUCUUUUGAUGAUUCCCUAUUCUCUGCUGGUUCAUGAUCCUAGCUCCUAGACAGCCUGGGCUUUCCAGGUCUUGCCUCCCUCCUUGCACACACCCUGCCCUGCUUUCACUGGUCCUGAUGCGGACAUGAGUAGAGCCAACUGUGGAUAAGAUAUUAACAUCUAUCCAUCAAGAACUUUCGAAUGUGUGCUCAGCACUCGAUGGAAAGACCUCUGGAUCAUUUUGUUCAGACAAAAGAGUCCAACUUCCCCUUUGAUGAUUCUCUUGGUCUGGCCACCAGAGUUCUCGCCUAUUUUCGUUGACAGAUAUUGCUCCCCAUCAGCAACAAGACACCCUGGGCUCUGUGUUGCAGUGAAAUUGGUGAACUUCUGAAGUCGCUCAGCCUGCAGUCUUUCACUUGACAACACCCCCUACGGUGCUCCAUAAUUGCCUGGAAAUGCAUGGUGUCUCCCAUCUUGUUGCUUAAUUAAAAUUCAGUCCUGUUCAACAGAGUCACAAUUAAGAGGUGUUUUUGUCUUUCUUUCUACUGCUCUCAUUUCAGGACCCCGAUCGUGAUGUCUCCUUGCUGAAUCUGGAAAUUGUCUGAAAUAUUUCCAGUGGGCAGAGGGUCACUGUAGUGAUGCCUGGAAAGGAAAGGUGCCAUGUUCUAUGGAGAGCAUAUUAAAUGCUACUUUCUGUUACUUUAUUUGAUCUCCAUUAGGCAGGUCGUGUUAUCCUCAUGCAUGCUGAGAAGGAACUGUGGCUCAGAGAGGAGAGGUAGCAUGCCUGAGAUUGUACAGCUUGUUAGGGCAUGAGCAAGAACUAAAAACACAGAGAUGGAGUUCCUGUGGUGGCUCAGCUGUAAUGAACCUGACUAGCCAGGGAUCGAACCUGCAACCUCAUGUAGACUCGUCAGGUUUGUUACCUCUGAGCCAUGAUGGGAACUUCCAGAGGCAGCUGUCUUAAUCAUGUCACAGGAAGGAUGCUAAAGGAUUGGGAGGUAGGAUAAUGAAAUUGCUCUUAUAAGGGACACGAUCUCAAAUAUCUGAAUCAAUAAUCAAGGCCUCACUAAAUGCUUGUAAUUAUCAAGUUGGGGGGGAGAUUAACAAUGAUGACUGGAUGUUGGAAAUCCCAAAUCUGCCACCCUCAACCUCUAAAGUUUUGGAGAACUAGUGAAAGAAUCGGUGUGUUCUUAUUCCUUUCACUACCCUCAACACUCAGGGUACAUCAAACUGCUUGGUCCAAAAGUUCUGUGCCCCAAGCAUCAAUAGGUACUCAAUUGAUGAUAGUUUAAUCCCAAACCACUUUGCAUAUUGACUUAAAAGUCAAUCUCUCUACAUGCUCUUGAGAGAAGUGGCUAUCUUUGAAGCACUGGAAUUGACCCCAUUCUCUCCUCAGUCGGACUCCCUGGGAGCUGAAUCCUCACUUGGAGUUAGCAGUCAAAGAUUAUAAAAUUAUUGUCUUGAGUAAGUCUCUUCUCUCCCUGUAAUUCCAACGCUAAGUGAGGGUUGACCCUGCCUCCCCUUCCCCACCCCCUCCCAGCGUAAUUAUCUCUCCAAUUAAAGAGCAUCUGAGGGACAACUGAACUCGAGGGUCUGCUGAAUUAUGACUAAUCACUCUGCAGAGGAAUCUCACUCAGCUUUGAUCUCUUAUCGCUCUGCGAACACAACCCUGUCUCUCUAAGGCCAGCAGCUCUCAGCAUCGCUGUGUCUAAUCAGGCGUGUCACACCUCCACUGAGGUAAAUUGGGUUUAUUGGAGAAGGGAAAUGAAAUUAAGUCUGUUUAGGAAUUAAUCGUAACUGUCUAGGCUUUAUCUAUCAUAUUAUCCCAUAGUGGUAUAUCAGGAUCAAAAUCCGCUGACCCAGUUUUGGAAAAAAAACAAAAA